rfam:Myotis davidii contig122702, whole genome shotgun sequence.
GAGACACCUCUAUGGAACAGGGCUUGCUUCAGUGGGGCUUUGGUGCUCACUGAGUCUGCCCUUUGAGUGUGUCACC